GCGCCAGUAGUAUAGGGGCAUCAUGCAAUUUUCCCAUUCUUGCGACCGGGGUUCGAUUUCCGGCUGGUGCU